rnacentral:tRNA from 1 species
GGUAAGAUGGCCGAGUGGUUAAGGCGGCAGAUUUAAGCCCUGCUGACGUUGUCACCUGGGUUCGAACCCCAGUCUUACCA